rnacentral:rRNA from 1 species
AUUGAACGCUGGCGGCAGGCCUAACACAUGCAAGUCGAGCGGAUGAAGGGAGCUUGCUCCUGGAUUCAGCGGCGGACGGGUGAGUAAUGCCUAGGAAUCUGCCUGGUAGUGGGGGAUAACGUCCGGAAACGGGCGCUAAUACCGCAUACGUCCUGAGGGAGAAAGUGGGGGAUCUUCGGACCCCACGCUAUCAGAUGAGCCUAGGUCGGAUUAGCUAGUUGGUGGGGUAAAGGCCUACCAAGGCGACGAUCCGUAACUGGUCUGAGAGGAUGAUCAGUCACACUGGAACUGAGACACGGUCCAGACUCCUACGGGAGGCAGCAGUGGGGAAUAUUGGACAAAGGGCGAAAGCCUGAUCCAGCCAUGCCGCGUGUGUGAAGAAGGUCUUCGGAUUGUAAAGCACGUUAAGUUGGGAGGAAGGGCAGUAAGUUAAUACCUUGCUGUUUUGACGUUACCAACAGAAUAAGCACCGGCUAACUUCGUG